rnacentral:rRNA from 1 species
UACGAAGGGUCCAAGCGUUAUCCGGAUUCAUUGGGUUUAAAGGGUGCGCAGGCGGGGCCUUAAGUCAGUGGUGAAAUCCCGUAGCUCAACUACGGAACUGCCAUUGAUACUGAGGUUCUUGAAUGUAGUUGACGUUAGUGGAAUGUGUCAUGUAGCGGUGAAAUGCUUAGAUAUGACACAGAACACCGAUCGCGAAGGCAGCUAACGAAGCUAUUAUUGACGCUCAGGCACGACAGCAUGGGGAGCAAACAGG